CCUACGGGGGGCUGCAGUGAGGAAUAUUGGUCAAUGGACGAGAGUCUGAACCAGCCAAGUAGCGUGAAGGAUGACUGCCCUAUGGGUUGUAAACUUCUUUUAUAUGGGAAUAAAACGUUCCACGUGUGGGAUUUUGUAUGUACCAUAUGAAUAAGGAUCGGCUAACUCCGUGCCAGCAGCCGCGGUAAUACGGAGGAUCCGAGCGUUAUCCGGAUUUAUUGGGUUUAAAGGGAGCGUAGGUGGAUUGUUAAGUCAGUUGUGAAAGUUUGCGGCUCAACCGUAAAAUUGCAGGUGAAACUGGCAGUCUUGAGUACAGUAGAGGUGGGCGGAAUUCGUGGUGUAGCGGUGAAAUGCUUAGAUAUCACGAAGAACUCCGAUUGCGAAGGCAGUUCACUGGACUGCAACUGACACUGAGGCUCGAAAGUGUGGGUAUCAAACAGGAUUAGAUACCCUUGUAGUC
rnacentral:rRNA from 1 species